UCCAACUUGGCCUCCCGCCGCCUCCCCGCCUGCGCCCCCUUUCCCGGGGAGCCCCCGGCCUCGUCCCCCGCAGCCCAAGGACGCCGGGGUGACUGGGAGUUCGGAGCCUGGCCGGAGGAGGGGCGGGCUGGUCCGCGGCCGAGGCUGGGGGCGCGUCGCCCCUGGUUUUUAUGAAAAAAUGUCUGCAGAAGUGCUUCGCUCUGCCCAGCUGAGAUGGAAACCAACAAAUAGACAUUAUGAUAGAAAAAUGAGGGCUCUGAGAAAUCACCAACUGCAAGAUAACUCUGUAACUAAUAAAUGAAAAGGGUCUUUUGAUG